AGGAACCUCAGCAUUUGUGCUUUUCACUAAGCUUUUUCAUCAUGGAUAUUCUUGGGCUCAAUAUUAGAUAAAAUUUUGAAUAUUCUUUGUCCUCUUGGCUUUUGAUUAAGAUGUUGAAUAGAUCUUAUUCAAGAAAUGCAGUGCCAUACAGAUUUGUAAACCAUCUCUGAGUAGUAAAUAUGAACAGCAGAACUAGUAGACUUAAAACAAGGCAACACAUAUUAGUAGAAUCCUUCCUUUUUUUCUGAUUCUAUUAUCUUGUAUAUUUUAUUUAAUUUUUUUCAAUAUGUAUAAUUAUAUAUAUUUUUGUACUUUUUCCCCUUUUUUUUUCUGAGGUCAAGGCCAAGUUUAUUCUCAAUAGAACAUCCUACUUGAAGCACAAAUAUUUCCAAACUAUGAAACAACAGAUAUUGCCUUACAACUCAAGAUGUUGAGUAUUGAUAACUAAUCAACUACUAGCCUGGAAGAUAAAAGCCAAAGCUGUAAACAGACAGGCCAGCUUAACAAGCGCACAUUCUCUGCUGCCAACAGUACCAAUUUGUCAUCCAAGCAACAAAUAUUCCUUGGUAAUCUGCUAUCAGAUGACAGUUAUCUCUUUGGCAUUUUUAUGAAUUAAAGCUUUCAAGGCCAAACUUCAGAUUUGUUUAGCAUAUUCCUGUACUACAUAUCAAAAAAUGUUUGAUGGUCUGUCUGGUUCAUCUCUUAACACUAUGAAGAUAACAACACUAAGCUUAACAAGCAAACAUUCUGUUGCCAACAGUACCCAUUUGUCAUCCUAUCCAAGCAACUAAUAAUUCUCGGUAAUCUGCAAUCAGAUGAUUACAGUUUUCUCUUUGGCAUUUUUAUGAAUUAAAGCUUUCAAAGCCUAACCUUAGAUUUGGUUGCCAUAACCCUGAACUGCACAUCAACAAAUGUCUGAUGGUCUGUCUGAACUCUAUGAAGAUGGGCUACACAGUGAGGACAAAGUUUUAUUUUCAUUCACCACUCAAAUUUUACAAAAGAAGAAAAUAUUAAAAGCCAUAGGGUAUCAGCUAUCAGCAGUGCACCCCUAUGAUAUACAAGUCUUCAUUGCCAAGUCACUCUGCCAAACGGUGUGUACACCUUCCUUGCAAUGGUAGUGACAGACUUUACUGUACUUCAUUGUCAGGAGUCUGGAUAUGUCAGCCCAAGAAGAUCAAGUUUGUGUCCAAGGUUACUUAGGUAAUUCUCUAAGAACAAUAGACUAAAUGGUCAAUUAAACAUGAGGUCAAGGAAAAAGGAUGAACAUUUCAAGGCUACAGGAGGAACAUUAAACAUCUCUCUCACUGUGAAAAGAUUCUACCGAUCUACAAAUGGUCAAGAUGUUUUAUCUAAAGUUCAUCUGCCAUUUCUUCAAAUGCAGCCAUAGUCAGAAUAAGAUUUUCAUCAUUUUUUCCUAAAGUCAUUUCAGUUGUAAAUUAUUUUGUGCAACAAGUUACCAGAAAAACGUCAAGCAAGAGAGGUCACUACACUAAGACUUUGUCUUCUCAUAAGAAUGGAUUGUUUUCUCAAAAGAAUGGAUAGCUGCCUGGUCAUGUGGUAUGUGCCCUGGACUGUUGUGGGGUCAUCUUGAUGCUCAUAUCUUGCCUGAUGCUAUUUAUUCUGCUGGACAUUUGGUCAAGAAAGUAGAUUCUCUUCAGCUCUCAAGAAACAUUCAAAACAUGUCAAACAUUUGACAAGAAUAUCAAGUGCAGUGUACAUACCAACAUGAUGAAAAGGUAGAUUAACAUGAAGAUGUAGACCAACAUGAAGAUGUAGACCAACAUCAACAUGAAGAUGUAGACCAACAUGAAGAUGUAGACCAACAUGAAGAUGUAGACCAGCAUGAAGAUGUAGACCAACAUGAUGUUGUAGUCCAGCAUGAUGAAGAUGUAGACCAACAUGAAGAUGUAGUCCAGCAUGAUAAAGGUGUAGACCAACAUGAUGUUGUAGUCCAGCAUGAUGAAGAUGUAGACCAACAUGAAGAUGUAGACCAACAUGAAGAUGUAGACCAGCAUGAAGAUGUAGACCAACAUGAUGUUGUAGUCCAGCAUGAUGAAGAUGUAGACCAACAUGAAGAUGUAGUCCAGCAUGAUAAAGGUGUAGACCAACAUGAUGUUGUAGUCCAGCAUGAUGAAGAUAGACAGACAUGAAGAUGAAAUGUAAACCAAACUAUUGAUCAAGAAUAGGGAAUAAAAUGUGAACAUCUUGAGAAGGAAAACAAUUCCUAGAGGCCAAGACACAGACACACCGGAUACAUUAACGAUUGUUUCCUUUUCUACCAUCAUUUAGAGACUUCCUUGUGCUCUAAGGGAACCUGCCAUUAUCUUUUGAUAGCUCAUUGUCGGUGAAGAUGUUUUUACAUACCUAGUGCAUCUGAAAGAAAUGAGCAUUUCCUUAAUGCUACUUCAAAACCAGACCUUCUCAAGACAAUCUUAGUGACCAAGCUGCAGUAGGAAACAAGAAUCCUUCCAACCUCAGGUUGAGUACCCAUGCUCACCUACUAGAGUGGCGACACAGACUUCUACACACACAGUUAUACAUUCUGAACCCUGUAACCCAACCUCACAACAUGGUUACAUUACUAGAAGUUGUCCUGAAGUUAGGAAAACUAACAGAUACAAUGAAUAGAACAAUCAUUUCUUAUACCAGGUACAACUAGUCAAGUGAUGUACUUUGUAAGAACUAAUUAGUUGGAAUUACCAUAAUUGACUUGUAUCUUGUUCUAUAUUUAGGUAUAUCUUGACAAUUAGUCAAGUCAUUUGUUCAAUUAAAAAAAAAAUAUUCCUUUUUUUCCACCUCAAUCUUCUUGUUUCAGUUCGAAAUGUUUUUAUAUUUUUUGUUUUUGGAGGAGGGAAGUUCUAUGGUAUAGUACUGGUACCAUUAUUAUUAUUGUAUUAAGCAAACUUGUAUAUGUAUGUUUAUUCAUGAAUACUAAUGAAGAAUAUCACUUCUGGGUCAUCUACCGAAAAUGUUGUAAACACUAUACACAUAUGUCUUCAGUUAACUUUAGAUAUUCUAUAGAGUCACAACACACAAAGCCUUGCUACAUAUUGCUUAAUUCAAUUUAUUAUCUCCCCUGCUUUUGUGUGCUAUCAUAUUAAUGUUCAUUAGUGUCACAUCCCUGCACAAUUUGUUCUAUGAUUUUUAUAGUGUAAAUAGUGACUUGACAUUAUUUAGCUCUACUAAAAUAUUGUUAUAGUAUUAUAUUUAAGAUAGAACAGUUAACAUUUACUAUGCUGUUAUUAAUAUAAAAGCUUUGCUGUGUUGCUAUAAAUGCGGUGUUGAGGUUGAGUCUAAGGACAUCAGAGAUGAGAAAUGUAGUUAUACUCCCCUUAACAGUUCAAACUAAAAUGUUCCAUAAAUAGUCUAUUCAUAUUUACUAUUUGGUAUUGACAGACUUCACUAAAGCAUUGAGCUCAUCCCCUUAGUCUAUUUAAAACUUUCAAAUACUAAUUCACUUUGUCUUAUCUAUUGGUGAUCAUGGGGUAUGAACACUCACUGUCCUGGUUAGGGCUAGGAUGUAAUCUCUAUUUCUGAUGGAACACAUGUAAAACCAACAGUAGACCUAGACUUUAUUAACAGGUCAUGCAAACAUUUCUUCUUACCUGGCUCUCUCAGAGCUAUUUUUAUGAAUUUUUAUUUUUUACUACUUUUGUAGGCUAGUGCUAAGCUGUAUGCUUGUACUUUUCCCUAUUAUUAUAUGGGUUAGUGCAAUUCUGUUUCCUGUACUGUUGACCAGUGGUCUGUAUGUCAGUUUUAAUUAUUCUGUACCUGGGACUGCCUGUAAGUUUCAGAAUUAUUUUUCUUUUUUUAAUUUUAUUAUGUGUAAAUCUAUUAUCUAAUUUUUUAGCAAUAUAUGUUACAUUAUUUUUCUAAUUGGAACAACUGUCAAAAUAAUUGACAACAUGUUUUAAAAAAUAUGGCCAAGCCACGCCCAGUGCUGUCUUAAUGGCCACUUCUAAUGUUUAUGUACUAUAUUUUGUCCUUAUGUUUUUUUUUUAGCUGCUGUGUUUUGUAACUGCUGCUUUAGUCAUUGAAAUUAAAGUCUCAUUUUUUAAAUUUC